rnacentral:rRNA from 1 species
AGAGUUUGAUCAUGGCUCAGAUUGAACGCUGGCGGCAUGCCUUACACAUGCAAGUCGAACGGCAGCGCGGGGCAACCUGGCGGCGAGUGGCGAACGGGUGAGUAAUAUAUCGGAACGUACCCUGGAGUGGGGGAUAACAUAGCGAAAGUUACGCUAAUACCGCAUACGAUCUAAGGAUGAAAGUGGGGGAUUCGCAAGAACCUCAUGCUCCUGGAGCGGCCGAUAUCUGAUUAGCUAGUUGGUAGGGUAAAAGCCUACCAAGGCAUCGAUCAGUAGCUGGUCUGAGAGGACGACCAGCCACACUGGAACUGAGACACGGUCCAGACUCCUACGGGAGGCAGCAGUGGGGAAUUUUGGACAAUGGGCGCAAGCCUGAUCCAGCAAUGCCGCGUGAGUGAAGAAGGCCUUCGGGUUGUAAAGCUCUUUUGUCAGGGAAGAAACGGUGUUUUCUAAUACAGAGCGCUAAUGACGGUACCUGAAGAAUAAGCACCGGCUAACUACGUGCCAGCAGCCGCGGUAAUACGUAGGGUGCAAGCGUUAAUCGGAAUUACUGGGCGUAAAGCGUGCGCAGGCGGUUUUGUAAGACUGUCGUGAAAUCCCCGGGCUCAACCUGGGAAUGGCGAUGGUGACUGCAAGGCUAGAGUUUGGCAGAGGGGGGUAGAAUUCCACGUGUAGCAGUGAAAUGCGUAGAUAUGUGGAGGAACACCGAUGGCGAAGGCAGCCCCCUGGGUCAAAACUGACGCUCAUGCACGAAAGCGUGGGGAGCAAACAGGAUUAGAUACCCUGGUAGUCCGCGCCCUAAACGAUGUCUACUAGUUGUCGGGUUUUAAUUAACUUGGUAACGCAGCUAACGCGUGAAGUAGACCGCCUGGGGAGUACGGUCGCAAGAUUAAAACUCAAAGGAAUUGACGGGGACCCGCACAAGCGGUGGAUGAUGUGGAUUAAUUCGAUGCAACGCGAAAAACCUUACCUACCCUUGACAUGGCAGAAAUCCCGGAGAGAUUUGGGAGUGCUCGAAAGAGAAUCUGCACACAGGUGCUGCAUGGCUGUCGUCAGCUCGUGUCGUGAGAUGUUGGGUUAAGUCCCGCAACGAGCGCAACCCUUGUCAUUAGUUGCUACGAAAGAGCACUCUAAUGAGACUGCCGGUGACAAACCGGAGGAAGGUGGGGAUGACGUCAAGUCCUCAUGGCCCUUAUGGGUAGGGCUUCACACGUCAUACAAUGGUACAUACAGAGGGCCGCCAACCCGCGAGGGGGAGCUAAUCCCAGAAAGUGUAUCGUAGUCCGGAUUGUAGUCUGCAACUCGACUGCAUGAAGUUGGAAUCGCUAGUAAUCGCGGAUCAGCAUGUCGCGGUGAAUACGUUCCCGGGUCUUGUACACACCGCCCGUCACACCGUGGGAGCGGGUUUUACCAGAAGUAGGUAGCUUAACCGUAAGGAGGGCGCUUACCACGGUAGGAUUCGUGACUGGGGUGAAGUCGUAACAAGGUAACCGUA